rnacentral:rRNA from 1 species
AGUCGAACGGGGUCGGAACUUCGGUUCCGGCUUACGUGGCGCACGGGUGAGUAACACGUGGGAAUCUGCCCAUCUAUGGGGAAUAACUGCGGGAAACUGCAGCUAAUACCGCAUACGCCCUUCGGGGGAAAGGCUUCGGCCGUAGAUGGAUGAGCCCGCGUCCGAUUAGCUAGUUGGUGGGGUAAUGGCCUACCAAGGCGACGAUCGGUAGCUGGUCUGAGAGGAUGAUCAGCCACACUGGGACUGAGACACGGCCCAGACUCCUACGGGAGGCAGCAGUGGGGAAUAUUGGACAAUGGGCGAAGGCCUGAUCCAGCAAUGCCGCGUGAGUGAUGAAGGUCUUCGGAUUGUAAAGCUCUUUCGACGGGGAAGAUAAUGACGGUACCCGUAGAAGAAGCCCCGGCUAACUUCGUGCCAGCAGCCGCGGUAAUACGAAGGGGGCUAGCGUUGUUCGGAUUUACUGGGCGUAAAGCGUGCGUAGGCGGCUUAUCAAGUCAGAAGUGAAAGCCCGGGGCUCAACUCCGGAAUGGCUUUUGAGACUGGUAGGCUGGAGUUCGGGAGAGGGUAGUGGAAUUCCCAGUGUAGAGGUGAAAUUCGUAGAUAUUGGGAAGAACACCGGUGGCG